CUCUACGAGCUUCUUGGUUUAGUGGAGGAGGGAGGAUUAGGCAGCGGCCAGACAACCGUAGAGAUGGUUUCCACAGAUGAACAGUUUUUGCUAUCUGUUUGUCUACUAAAUUCUAUCUCACAUCU
rfam:Helianthus annuus linkage group 2, whole genome shotgun sequence.